ACUGAAGAAACCCGCCGGCUGCUGGGGCAGGGCGGCGAAAGGUCAGUCGGCCGAGAGGAGUCCGUGGAGCCACCGUUUCAUAGCCUCAGGGAAAGGAUCGGGCGUGCUCACGAGCCCUCUAACCCAUGGCUUAAACACCCGCUUCCUAAGCCUGGAUGGAAUGAUAGGGUAUGCAUAAAUGUUCAUGUGGGCUCUGGAGUAUACCAGGAACUGAAGUAAGGUACAUGGACGUCUUGAAUAUUGUAACUGAGAUGGGCAAGCCUACACCUUUGCAAAUAAAGGAGGAUUGGGAAAGAUUAAGGUACUUCCUAAGCGUGGCUACUCCAAUGAAGCUUUAGUAUAUGUACUGAAAGAAGAUCCUCUCAUACUGCCACAGCCAAGAGAUAAGGUUGUAAAUCUUUAUUGGGAGAAGCCGUCAAGGACAGUUCUGUGAAAUGAAAGGAUCUCUGGAUCACCACAAAGUCUGGCUCAGUGACUAUGGCUUUGCAAACACUAAACAUUCCUGUCUCAAGUCCUGUAGAUGGCUUGAAAUAGUAUACAUAAGCAUGCCUUAUAAACAUCUUCAGUCUUUAUCAACUCUUUGGAGAUUCAGCCAUUCUUUUUUGUACUUUAGGGAAUUAAAUCAUUUUAUAAUGUAUAAAUCUGAGCAUGGCCGAUGGCAGAAGAAAUUUUGUCAUACGUUUUUAAAGAAAUAAAAAUGUAUUAUGUUUUAAAA
rnacentral:lncRNA from 1 species